UAACCUGCCUCUUAGCGGGGGAUAACUAUUGGAAACGAUAGCUAAUACCGCAUAAAAGUCGACAUUGCAUGAUGUUGACUUGAAAGGUGCAAUUGCAUCACUAAGAGAUGGACCUGCGUUGUAUUAGCUAGUUGGUGAGGUAACGGCUCACCAAGGCGACGAUACAUAGCCGACCUGAGAGGGUGAUCGGCCACACUGGGACUGAGACACGGCCCAG
rnacentral:rRNA from 1 species